rnacentral:rRNA from 1 species
GACGAACGCUGGCGGCGGGCUUAACACAUGCAAGUCGAACGGAAUCCAUGGAGCUUGCUCCGGAAGAUUUAGUGGCGAACGGGUGAGGAACACGUGAGAAACCUGCCCCGAACUUUGGGAUAACAGUUGGAAACGACUGCUAAUACCAAAUACCUCCGCGAUGUGGCAUCACAUUGCGAAGAAAGAAUUUCGGUUCGGGAGGGUCUCGCGGCCUAUCAGCUAGUUGGUGGGGUAAUGGCCUACCAAGGCAUCGACGGGUAGCUGGUCUGCGAGGAUGAUCAGCCACACUGGGACUGAGACACGGCCCAGACUCCUACGGGAGGCAGCAGUGGGGAAUCUUGUGCAAUGGGGGCAACCCUGACACAGCCACGCCGCGUGCGGGAAGAAGGCCUUCGGGUCGUAAACCGCUUUCAGCAGGAACGAAAAUGACGGUACCUGCAGAAGAAGGAGCGGCCAACUACGUGCCAGCCGCCGCAGUAA